AAUAUGAGUAUUACAAGAGUUGAUCUACCACGAGAUCGUAAUGGCUAAAUCCUAGAAGUUUAGCCUGUAUGACUGUGGUAAUGAAUAUCUUGUCCGGACUAUGCCCUCCGGUUUAUAUAGACACCGGAGGGAUCUAGGGUUACACAGAGUCGGUUACAUAGGAAAGAAUCUUCAUAGAUGAUCGUCAAGGAGAGUCCUAUCCGGAUACGGGUAGAGUCUUUGGCCUUCAUGUCUUCACAGCCCAUCAGUCCGGCCAUGGAUAAUAGGCCGGACGCCCAGGACCCCUUCCUGCAGUACUCCCUCACCGGCGGCUGCACUGGCGCUCAGAUCGCCGCCGCCUCGCACCGACGCCCUGGUCAUGUCGGUUCCUACCCACCUGCCUCGAUCCCACUGUCCUAACCUAGAGGACAGGCGACACCUGUGUUGCAGACGUCGGCCCCGAUGACGGUGAGGAGCACGGCGCACCUCCACGACGACACCUCACUGCUGCCGCUCGGCGUAGAAGGGCGCACAUCCCCCUCCUAAAGAUGGAACAUCUUGCUUAAUACCUGAGUCCCCGGCCCUCGUUGCUACAGGUUUAUCUGCCCAAUCACAUGAAUUGAAUUUUUUCACCCAAAAAGGUUGAAAUCAACUGCUUUGCAUACACAAUUAAAUAGUGAGUAUCACGUUUUAUUAGCAAAAUUUAAUAGUUCAUACACAAUUAGGAAGUUGCAUGAAGAUUACAUUAUUUUUCUAGAACAUGUUCUAUUGUAAAGAUAAGGUCAGAGGCAUACCAACACAAUGCUUUGUUUAGUGAAGCUACAAAACCCACCAUCAUAACUGAUAAUUCCGUGUUUUAUUGCCUGGUGAAUAUUUAUUCUAUUUCAGUGCUGACUAAUUGGCCCUUUGCUGAUCGAUAUGGUUCCCUUUGAAUGGCAUGAAGGAGGAAUAAGGGUUGCUUCUCACUCCCUUUUGGUCUGUUCUAGCGUGGAUGGAGGGUGACCCAGGCUUGUCCGACCAAAGGUGGCCGGUGAGCCUCUUGGUCUGUGCAGCGAAUGGACAUCAAAUAUAUUACAUUAGAUGAUGGGGGGAAACUGUAGUUGCAGUGCUUCACUUCUGCAACAAUGGACUCCCCGAAGUGCCAACACCUUUACAUGGAUAUUCAGGAUAUUUUUUAAGGUUAGAAUAUGAAAGUAGAACAGCAAGUUCCAUUACUUUCGGAAAAGUGCCCGGCCCUGAAUGAUGCCUUAAUGUGGCUUUUAAGUUUCAGGUAUUAUGCGAUCGACCCAAUUGUUAGCUUUAGGAUGCUUUUUGGAGUCGACUCAUGAAGAUGAUGGCUAGCCUGCACGAACAUUUGUAGCUUCUGCAUAGAUGAUUCAGAUAGUCUACAAGAAAGGUAAAUAAUUAUAGGGGAUAGAUGUACGUUGCUCCCACAAUAUCCAGUUAUUGUCAGCAAACUUGCUUGUGGGCCAUGCCGACGAUGACAGGUGUAUGAAAAUGCAUCUCACCGACGGCGAUUGGAGCACCAACUUGGGUGGCCCAGCUGUUUGACACUGCCGGCUCGACCUAAUCCGCUAGCAGCAUCGAGGAGGACGUGGAGCUCCUAGCCUCCUGAGCCCUCCACGGGGCUCGUCUCGUCAGGCCGCCAUGGUUGCAGUAUAAAAACCCUUACUGCCAUAUACAUGUCCCUUUUUUCCUCCCCGUCGCUUCCGCGGAUGAAAACCACAACAAACUCCUGCAAACACGCGAACAAUCGGCCAUGGCUUCCGCCCUCCGAGCCCCGCGAAGUCAUGUACAAUCUUACCGGCUGGCAUCAUGUACAAUCUUACCGGCUGGGAUCAUAUAGUUAUCAGAGUGUCACUUUUUGAUUUGGUACUGUCAUGUUUUUCAGCAGCCAUUAUAUAAUUAGCUGCUCAUCUUCCCACCUGUUGUUAUAGCCCUCCACAUAUCUGAAGGCAAAGAUGGUCCAUGAGUGACCAUGUGAUGAAAAUCUUCAUGGCUAUUUCAAAAUAGACCUGAUGUUAGGUGAAAAUAUUCAUCAAUGGUUCAAUGAAGAUGCAUCAAAUUUCAAAAUAGAAUGCUAAUAAAUUACACCUAGAGCAAUAUGAGAGUAUUUAAAUUUUGAUGGACCUAAACCUAUCCAGCACAGUACACAAGCUCUUUUAAAAUAUCGACAUUUAUCCGGUUUGCAUUUUUUUGUACUGGAGUUAAACCUAUCCAGCGUGUCCGUGAACCUAAAGUCGGCUUCAGUAUAUAUCAAUUGGAAGUCGGCUUAUGAGGCUUCAGUAUAUAUCAAUUGGAAGCCGGCUUCUGUGGCUCUGCCUGUAUGUUUACAUUUUGCAAACACAGUUUAUGCCUGACAUUUGUGUCUCUUUAUUUAUGCAGAUCUAUUCUAGAGCUCAAGGCAUCAGGUACACUUUAGAUACAAACUCUCGCGCUCAACGUAGUUUCCAUGUAGUGUUAAAUUCCGGUGAACUAUAUCUCACCCCAUGCAUGCUGCCUACUCCUUUAUUGCAAACACAAAGCUGCAUGAGACCAGAUCGAUUAGGUAUACUUUGUUACUGACUGAUUGGUUCAUGGAUUAAGCAUGGACUGUAGGAAAUUAGGAGUUGUACAAGGAGGAAAGGAGAAGAGAAGAGAAGAGGACUUAUUUCAUUGGAUUCGCGGCUGUUUGAUUCCUUUUUGCUGCAAGGAUAGAUCUCCGUUGACCACAUAUUCAGUAGUAGAUCAAAAGCUUAUUUUAAAUUCUAGGAAUAAUUGGGUUCAUAAUUUGGUUGUGGCACCUACAUGAAAGCUGUAGAGUUCAUCGAUAUCUUUCCAAGGAUACUAAGUUUCUGCAAUUCAGAAUAAUGAUUGUCAAGAUAUCACCAAAACAUAUUUCUAUGUUCGAGGAUUUUAAAUACUAGAAGAUUUUCUGUUUUACAAGAAUUACUCUACUUACAGGAAGAACCAGUUUUUGGCCGCCACAUGAACCUGCAAAUGAUCUCCUUCUGAUAUUCAUACUAUUCUCAUUUGCUUGAUUUUGUGAAGUGCAUUAAGAUUUACAGUAUAGACCAGAUAUGUUCAGAAUGGUUUCGAUGUUAAGUGAAAGAUAGGAAGACAUGAUUUCAGUAUCUUGAUGAGGGCUAGAUUUAACAUGCUGAUGAAUAACAGAAGUUAUAUUGCUGGGACAUGUUUUUGGCCUCACAUCACUUAACUCUGCAGCUGGUUUGUAGAGCUGUAUCUUCUCUUAUUCUUUUUGGUUCUUCGGAUGAGCGACGCUGCCUGUGGGUCGUGGACAAAGCGGCUGCUACUUCCAGGAUAACAGGGACAAUGUUGUUGCCAUACCGGCAGGUGCUGGACAUGAUUCUCAAAGAAGACACAGAUGUGCAUGCUUCACAUCUUCUACACGCUUAUGCAAAGUGGGAUUUUAUUCAUAUUUUGAUGAGCUUAAUUUCUUAUGCUACUGUUUGCUUCUGCCUGAAGGAUACAUAUGGUAUGUUUUGUGAGCGGCGGGUAUGGAUGAGGUGAGAGCGUCUGUUAGUGCGUCAUUUUUGUUGGAUACUUUAAUCUGUUAGGGUUGGUAUAUAUUUUGAUUGGCGUGGUUGCCUCAAAGUAAUGCCCUGCUACUCCUUGGGGGGCGUGAGCGAAGAUUUAUGCCUUAAGCAUAGGAAUGAGGGAGUAGGUCUCCAACAGAAUAGGCGAUGAUGCUAGGAGAGGCACAUCGAGGAACAAGUACAUGGUGCUACUCGAUGGUCGGCCACAUUCUCACUAUUAUUUUGGGAUGCCAAAGAGAUAGCACAUGAUGUUCUACUGCUGGGGAAUUAACAAUCAUUAUGCUUACCAAUAUACUGGCAUGUAUUUUUUUCUAAAGUAUAUAGUGGUUUCCUUUAGUUGAAAUACAGAAAAAAUUUCACCCCCAAUGAUUCAACAAGAGUUGUUCAUUAAAAGCGUGUGGUUUCUUUCUUCAUCAAGAAUUGAAAUAAUCUGUGCUAUUAGAACUCCAUGGAGAGCAAUAAUAUAAUUGUCACAUGGGGUGAUCUUUAUUGGCUAAUUGUAUAGCUUAUGAUCUUAUGGAAUUUAGGUUUGUAAAUCCACGUAUUUUUUAGAUGAAGAAACAAAGAAGGAAAUGACUAUAUCAAGGAUCACAUAUGGUUAAAUGUAGAAACAACGAACACGGUGGCAUAUCAGUUGCAACAUGGUGAAACUUUUAGGAUAGAAGGGUAAACGAAUUGCUCGGUCGCUUCAAGAGUUAAUAAUGGACACGGUGGCGCAUGUAUACUUCGCGGUAAUGCAUGAUAUUCGACUGUAUGUUACAACAUGGCAAUGACUCAGGAUAUAUCGGAUCUGCCU